rnacentral:rRNA from 1 species
CAAGGUGCUGCAUGGUUGUCGUCAGCUCGUGCCGUGAGGUGUCGGGUUAAGUCCCCAUAACGAGCGCAACCCUUACCGUUAGUUACCAUCAGGUUAAGCUGGGGACGUCUAGCGGGACUGCCACCGUAAGGUGAGAGGAAGGUGGGGAUGACGUCAAAUCAGCACGGCCCUUAUGUCCAGGGCUACACACGUGUUACAAUGGCCGGUACAAAGGCAGCUACUUCGCGAGAAGAUGCUAAUCUCGAAAGCCGGUCUCAGUUCGGAUCGAAGUCUGCAACCCGACUUCGUGAAGCUGGAUUCGCUAGUUAAUCGCGCAUCAGCCAUGGCGCGGUGAAUACGUUCCCGGGCCUU